CCCUCAUCAUGCUUCAGGCUGGAGCUUCUAUGAUGGAUCCAAACCACUUCCUGAUGAUCGUGUUGAGCCGUUUUGAGCUCUAUCAUAUCUUCAGCUCAGCAGACUGCAGAAAGAGAUACAGCAGAGAGAAUGCUCACAAGGAUGUGGUUCAGCAGAAUAACACACUAACUGAGGAGAUGCUGCAUCUGGUCAUUAUGAUCGUGGGUGAGUGAUCAUUUCUCAACAUGUCUUUUGAGCAUUGUUAUGUGGGUGUAUUAAGCUUAUCAUAA